rnacentral:rRNA from 1 species
CCUACGGGUGGCAGCAGUGGGGAAUAUUGCACAAUGGGCGCAAGCCUGAUGCAGCCAUGCCGCGUGUGUGAAGAAGGCCUUCGGGUUGUAAAGCACUUUCAGCGGGGAGGAAGGCGGUGAGGUUAAUAACCUCAUCGAUUGACGUUACCCGCAGAAGAAGCACCGGCUAACUCCGUGCCAGCAGCCGCGGUAAUACGGAGGGUGCAAGCGUUAAUCGGAAUUACUGGGCGUAAAGCGCACGCAGGCGGUCUGUCAAGUCGGAUGUGAAAUCCCCGGGCUCAACCUGGGAACUGCAUUCGAAACUGGCAGUCUAGAGUCUUGUAGAGGGGGGUAGAAUUCCAGGUGUAGCGGUGAAAUGCGGAGAGAUCUGGAGGAAUACCGGUGGCGAAGGCGGCCCCCUGGACAAAGACUGACGCUCAGGUGCGAAAGCGUGGGGAGCAAACAGGAUUAGAUACCCUAGUAGUC